rnacentral:misc_RNA from 1 species
GAUGAAGAACGUAGCGAAAUGCGAUACGUAAUGUGAAUUGCAGAAUUCAGUGAAUCAUCGAAUCUUUGAACGCAUAUUGCGCUCUCUGGGAUUCCGGAGAGCAUGCUUGUUUGAGUAUCAGUAAACACCUCAACUUCCAUAUCUUUUUUGAAAUGGGAGUUGGACUUGAGUGAUCCCAACGCUUUUCCUCACCGAAAAGUGGCGGGUUACUUGAAAUGCAGGUGCAGCUGGACUUUUCUCUGAGCUAUAAGCAUAUCUAUUUAGUCUGCCUAAAAAACAGAUUAUUACCUUUGCUGCAGCUAACAUAAAGGAGAUUAGUUCUUGUGCUGACUGAUGCAGGAUUCACAAAGACAGGCUUCGGCCGACUUUGUAAACUCGAUCUCAAAUCAAGUAAGACUACCCGCUGAACUUAAGCAUAUCAAUAAGCGGAGGA